CCUUUGUUUUUAUUUUCUUUUCCUCUGAAGACUUGCUCGCAAAAAAUAAACAAAAACAUUCUUUACUCAGUCGCCCAUAGGGAGAGGCAGCAGCAGCAGCAGCUAUGGCCGCAGCAACCAUUAGCUAUUAUCUACCGAAUCAAUUCGGAAACUCAAGGCAAUUCUUAUUCAAUCCUUACACUAGACCCAUCUUCAAACGCAGCAAUUUCGCGGCAAAAGUUCGCGCUUCUUCUUCCACUUCUACUUCUACUGCCCUGCUCGAAUCAAAACCAGCGGAUGCUGUCGUGGUCGAAAAAGAGGAGGUCAGUAGAAGCAGUACGAACAUAAUCGCUUGUCCUAUAUGUUACGAGCCAUUGUCUUUGAUAGGUGAUCGUCUCUUGUCUGUGGAUAUUGGUGAGUGUAGUUUGCGAUGUGGCAGUUGUAAAAAGAUUUACUAUGGUAAAGAAACACAUAUUGAAUUAACUGUGGCUAGUGGAGCCAGUAAAUAUGACGAUGCUAUGCCCUUGGCUACUGAAUUUUUCAGGCUUUCACUGAUAUCAUUUCUCUAUGAGAGGGGUUGGCGUCAAAAUUUCAUUUGGGGUGGUUUCCCUGGCCCAGAAAAAGAGUUUGAAUUGAUAAAGGAUUACCUCAAGCCAGUUUUAGGUGGAAAUAUUAUUGAUGCUAGUUGCGGUAGUGGGUUAUUUUCAAGACUUUUUGCCAAGAGUGGGUUGUUUUCUCUUGUUGUUGCAUUGGACUACUCAGAAAACAUGCUGCAGCAGUGUUAUGAUUUCAUCAAGCAGGAGGAAAACUUUCCCACAGAGAACUUAAUAUCGGUCAGAGCCGAUAUCUCAAGACUUCCAUUUCUUUUUGGUUCUGUUGAUGCUGUCCAUGCUGGUGCUGCCAUACACUGUUGGCCUUCACCAUCAGCAGCUGUAGCUGAAAUAAGUCGGGUUCUGAGACCUGGGGGUGUUUUUGUUGCUUCCACUUUCAUACUCGAUGGGCCCUUCAGUUUUGUCCCACUGAUGGGGCCUCUGCGCCAGAAUAUUGCGCAAAUAUCAGGCAGUCAAAUAUUUCUGCGUGAAUAUGAACUAGAAGAUAUCUGCAGGGCCUGUGGGCUAGUUGGAUUUACAGCUAUAAGAGAUAGGCAAUUCGUGAUGUUUUCUGCUAGAAAACCCAGUCCUCAAAAGAAAAAUUUCCACGAGCUGUCUCGGAAUGCUUUAAAGGGAGCAGUCAUUGUAGAUAAAGCCAGCCGCAGCUUCUUUUAACGUUCACCAAGAGAAGUGAAUGCUAACUAGUUUCUCAUCAUUGUAUCAUUAUCAAAAUUCAAAAUCCAUGUUCUUCUGCGAUUCACUGAGGUUGGAAAAUGUCAACUGGCGAUAGGGCAUCAUCUUCUCUUCAUCGUCAUCAAGAUCAGGACAAUCCUCCCCUUCAUAAACCAUUUCAAUAACAGAUGCCUCUUCAGCUUCAACCAACUCAACUUGACAAUUUCCUCUGCUUGUAGGUGAAUCAUCUAAAAUCAACUGUUCCAUCUCUAAUUCUAUCAGCGCUUCCAUAUGAGCUCGCUCUCUAUCUCUUGGGUAGGUACGAUAGAGGAAUGAGUAGAUGAAACAGCACAGGGCCAUUGGAAUUCCUAUUGCUGUAUACAGAGCUUUGGCCAAUGAUGCAGCAUUUCUUCUAUCUGUAGCAAUCUCUUCAGAUUCACUGGAUCCUUUAGGAAGGGGUUUAUAACCAUAAACAUAUUGAGCAAGCAGUCCAACUAUUGGGGGAGCAAAUGAUGAGAGUAUGGACUCGAAAGAUCUAUCCAAAGCGUAGACGCUUGUCCGGGAUUUUUCAGUUCUCUUCUCAAUGGAAGGCUUAUGAAAUUAUUGGAAGGAAUAAAGAGAAAGCAAGGUUGAGAGACUUACUUAUUUGUAGCUGGAGCGUUCCAAGUAAUGAACAGACCCAUGACGACCAAGACUAAUCCGUGCAUAAAUGCUGUGGAUGGAUCAUCAGGUAAACCCAGCAGAAGAAUUGCUGCUAGAGGGAUAGCUGAUGCAGAGCUUAUCUGUGCCAGAAUUAUUCUUCCAGCAUUUGGGAAACGUGUGGAAAGUAUAUCCCCCAUUUUGCCUCCAAACAAGCCCCCAAAUGAACCAGCAAUUACAAAUAAUGCUACGAGGAGUGCUGUCUUUUCAUGGGAAAACCCAAUAAGCUCUAACCACAUUGCUGAAAAUGUCAAAGCUGACCAAGGGAAUGAACCAGUGAUGCCCUGAGCCACUAUUAUCUGGAAAGAUGGAAUUUUUAUGACUGACUUGGCUUCUCGGACUAGAUCCUUCACUUCUGAAAAAAAGGAUUUACUUACAUCUUGAUUCCUAUUUUUCAUACUAGCAUCUGAAAAGUGUGGAUCAUUGGCAAAAAGGUAGACUAGCACACCCACCAUGACACUUAUUAUUCCAACAAGAUGGAAUGAAAGCCUCCAUCCAGGAAUUCCCAUGAAUGUUAUGGGAGCUAUCAGUACUGAACAUAGUCCCCCAACAAUUGAACCAAUGUUGGCUGUUAGUUGUAGCCAACCAAAAGCUGUACCACGGUUACUAUCAUCAGUUGAAUCAGCAACCAGGGACUGGAUUGCAGGUGCAACUAUAGCAAGCCCAAUGCCAUUCAGAGCUCUGGAUACAGCCACCUGUUUAAGAAAAGCUGAAGGACUUGAAAUAAAUAAAAUCAGUCGACAAACCUACUGUGGUACUUAGCUCUCUAUCGCGUGCAUGAUGAUUGCCUAUCAUAUGUAACUAAAUCUCAUAUUAAUAUACAUAUCUUUAGGUACUACAUUUUAAUUUUUUCCUUUCAUGUAGGAUUUGAGCCACUUCAAAGUUUAAAAAAAAACAACUCAGGUUGAUAUAAAACACUUGGAAAAUAGAUAACAGUGAAUUAUUCGAGCUA